GCAGGGUGAGGUAGUAGGUUGUGUGGUUUCAGGGCAGUGAUGUUGCCCCUCCGAAGAUAACUAUACAACCUACUGCCUUCCCUGA
ensembl:miRNA Mirlet7b microRNA let7b